rnacentral:rRNA from 1 species
UACGUAGGGUGCAAGCGUUGUCCGGAAUUAUUGGGCGUAAAGAGCUCGUAGGCGGUUUGUUGCGUCGGCUGUGAAAACCUGAGGCUCAACCUCAGGCCUGCAGUCGAUACGAGCAGACUAGAGUGUUGCAGGGGAGACUGGAAUUCCUGGUGUAGCGGUGAAAUGCGCAGAUAUCAGGAGGAACACCGGUGGCGAAGGCGGGUCUCUGGGGCAACAACUGACGCUGAGGAGCGAAAGCGUGGGGGAGCGAACAGG